rnacentral:rRNA from 1 species
UACGUAGGGGGCUAGCGUUGUCCGGAAUCAUUGGGCGUAAAGAGCGUGUAGGCGGCCCGAUAAGUCCGCCGUGAAAGUCCAGGGCUCAACCCUGGAAUGCCGGUGGAAACUGUCGGGCUGGAGUCCGGAAGAGGCGAGUGGAAUUCCUGGUGUAGCGGUGAAAUGCGCAGAUAUCAGGAGGAACACCAGUGGCGAAGGCAGCUCGCUGGGACGGUACUGACGCUGAGACGCGAAAGCGUGGGGAGCAAACAGG